rnacentral:rRNA from 1 species
UACGUAGGGGGCAAGCGUUGUCCGGAAUUAUUGGGCGUAAAGAGCGUGUAGGCGGUCCGGUAAGUCAGCUGUGAAAGUCAAGGGCUCAACCCUUGAAUGCCGGUUGAUACUGUCGGGCUAGAGUCCGGAAGAGGCGAGUGGAAUUCCCGGUGUAGCGGUGAAAUGCGCAGAUAUCGGGAGGAACACCAACGGCGAAAGCACUCUGCUGGGCCGACACUGACACUGAGAGACGAAAGCUAGGGGAGCGAAUGGG